AGACUUUUCAAGAUGAGACGAACAGAAUUCGUCACAGAGCGCAGUCCUUGAUUCGUGACAUUCAAACCCCAGUGAUUCGUCGCGCCCGAAGUUGCACACCGUUUCCUGUGACUGGAUACACGUAUGAGCCAGCUUCGCAACUUGCCCUUGAUGCAUAUGUGGAGAGGAUAACCAACCCUGUACGCCACGUUGCCAAGGAAGUUCAUAGAAUCUCGCAUUAUCCUGAGCCAGCCAAAAAAUAUGUUGG